GACGAACGCUGGCGGCGUGCUUAACACAUGCAAGUCGAGCGGUAAGGCCCUUUCGGGGGUACACGAGCGGCGAACGGGUGAGUAACACGUGGGUGACCUGCCCUCAGCUCUGGGAUAAGCCCGGGAAACUGGGUCUAAUACCGGAUAUGACACAUCGUUGCAUGAUGGUGUGUGGAAAGUUUUUCGGCUGGGGAUGGGCCCGCGGCCUAUCAGCUUGUUGGUGGGGUGAUGGCCUACCAAGGCGACGACGAGUAGCCGGCCUGAGAGGGCGACCGGCCACACUGGGACUGAGACACGGCCCAGACUCCUACGGGAGGCAGCAGUGGGGAAUAUUGCGCAAUGGGCGGAAGCCUGACGCAGCGACGCCGCGUGGGGAUGACGGCCU
rnacentral:rRNA from 1 species